CGUAGGUGGCAAGCGUUGUCCGGAUUUAUUGGGUUUAAAGGGUGCGUAGGCGGCUUUGUAAGUCAGUGGUGAAAUACUCCAGCUCAACUGGAGAGGUGCCAUUGAUACUGCAGAGCUAGAGUACUGAUGAGGUAGGCGGAAUGGACGGUGUAGCGGUGAAAUGCUUAGAUAUCGUCCAGAACACCGAUAGCGAAGGCAGCUUACUAAAGAGUAACUGACGCUGAGGCACGAAAGUGUGGGGAUCAAACAGGAUUAGAUACCCUGGUAGUCCACACUGUAAACGUUGAUCACUAGAUGUUGGCGAUACACUGCCAGCGUUCCAGCAAAAGCGAAUAAGUGAUCCACCUGGGGAUACGCCGACAAGGGUG
rnacentral:rRNA from 1 species